rnacentral:ncRNA from 2 species
GUUUGUUUAACUAUGGCAAUAAGAAGUAUACAGUGGUUUAAUUGCAUAAAAAGUUUUUAUAACAGUUAUUGUAUGGGAUCAAUUAUUAUAAUUAGCAGUUAGUAUUUUUGUUGAUUUAACGUUUUUUAAGAUGUCAUUGUAAAAAGGGGAUAGGACACAGUGCCAGCAUCCGCGGUUAAUCUGUUUUCUUUGCUUUUAUUAGGGACGGGCUUGGGUGUUUAUAAGCGAGGUUUGGUGAAAUUUUCUUGUGGUUAUAUUUAGCACCCAUUGGGCUAGAAGAUAGCUUUAAACGACAGGGAUUAGAUACCCCAUUAGUGGCUAUUAUAUUACGUUUCUUAGUUAUAUAACUAAAAUAGUUUGGCAGCGAGUUACUCCCUUUGGGGGAAGGUGUGUUAUAAAGGACGAUCCGCCAAGUAAGUUACCUGUGUUAUGUUGGUGUAUAUCUGGUUUGAUAUUAUUGCUUUAGUGGCUAAAUUUGUGUAUUAAAUUUUAAGCCAAGUCUAUGUGCUGCUUGCACGGGGUUUCAUGCGUUACAUUAAUAGAGGACUUCUUGUAAUAAGGGUCCCUUAAGGACUCAAAAGUAAUGGGGUAAUUAGUUUGGUCCUGUGAAAAGGGUUUAACUUGGGUACACACCGCCCGUCACCCUCGACUCUUGUUGAGGUAAGUCGUAACAUGGUAACCCCAAAUGAAUUUGGGGUUAAUUGCUUUAAUAG